CGCCUGGGGAGUACGGCCGCAAGGUUAAAACUCAAAUGAAUUGACGGGGGCCCGCACAAGCGGUGGAGCAUGUGGUUUAAUUCGACGCAACGCGAAGAACCUUACCUGGCCUUGACAUCCAGAGAACUUUCCAGAGAUGGAUUGGUGCCUUCGGGGACUCUGAGACAGGUGCUGCAUGGCCGUCGUCAGCUCGUGUCGUGAGAUGUUGGGUUAAGUCCCGUAACGAGCGCAACCCCUAUCCCUGGUUGCUAGCAGGUAAUGCUGAGAACUCCAGGGAGACUGCCGGUGACAAACCGGAGGAAGGUGGGGAUGACGUCAGGUCAUCAUGGCCCUUACGGCCAGGGCUACACACGUGCUACAAUGGCGCGUACAGAGGGCUGCCAACUCGCGAGAGUGAGCCAAUCCCUUAAAACGCGUCGUAGUCCGGAUCGGAGUCUGCAACUCGACUCCGUGAAGUCGGAAUCGCUAGUAAUCGCGAAUCAGAAUGUCGCGGUGAAUACGUUCCCGGGCCUUGUACACACCGCCCGUCACACCAUGGGAGUGGAUUGCACCAGAAGUAGUUAGUCUAACCUUCGGGAGGACGAUUACCACGGUGUGGUUCAUGACUGGGGUGAAGUCGUAACAAGGUAACCGUA
rnacentral:rRNA from 1 species